CAAUAGUCCCUAAAUGUGAGUUCAAAAGGUUUAGUGUGAAAUAUGAUAGUGUGAUGGCCUCGUGUUGUUGGCAAAAUGUAUGUUUGUGAAAAAACUGAAAAAUAAAGAUAAAAAACCUGUAUUUGUAAAACUGUGAACCUAAGAAAAUAAAUGUAGGCGUAGGCUUGUUUAACAUAAAAGUGGAGAUGCAAAUGUAAAAUUGUAACGGUAAAAUAUCCUGUGG